rnacentral:rRNA from 1 species
CGCUAGCUACAGGCUUAACACAUGCAAGUCGAGGGGCAGCAUGGUCUUAGCUUGCUAAGGCCGAUGGCGACCGGCGCACGGGUGAGUAACACGUAUCCAACCUGCCGUCUACUCUUGGACAGCCUUCUGAAAGGAAGAUUAAUACAAGAUGGCAUCAUGAGUCCGCAUGUUCACAUGAUUAAAGGUAUUCCGGUAGACGAUGGGGAUGCGUUCCAUUAGAUAGUAGGCGGGGUAACGGCCCACCUAGUCUUCGAUGGAUAGGGGUUCUGAGAGGAAGGUCCCCCACAUUGGAACUGAGACACGGUCCAAACUCCUACGGGAGGCAGCAGUGAGGAAUAUUGGUCAAUGGGCGAGAGCCUGAACCAGCCAAGUAGCGUGAAGGAUGACUGCCCUAUGGGUUGUAAACUUCUUUUAUAAAGGAAUAAAGUCGGGUAUGGAUACCCGUUUGCAUGUACUUUAUGAAUAAGGAUCGGCUAACUCCGUGCCAGCAGCCGCGGUAAUACGGAGGAUCCGAGCGUUAUCCGGAUUUAUUGGGUUUAAAGGGAGCGUAGAUGGAUGUUUAAGUCAGUUGUGAAAGUUUGCGGCUCAACCGUAAAAUUGCAGUUGAUACUGGAUAUCUUGAGUGCAGUUGAGGCAAGCGGAAUUCGUGGUGUAGCGGUGAAAUGCUUAGAUAUCACGAAGAACUCCGAUUGCGGAAGGCAGCUUGCUAAGCUGCAACUGACAUUGAGGCUCGAAAGUGUGGGUAUCAAACAGGAUUAGAUACCCUGGUAGUCCACACGGUAAACGAUGAAUACUCGCUGUUUGCGAUAUACAGCAAGCGGCCAAGCGAAAGCGUUAAGUAUUCCACCUGGGGAGUACGCCGGCAACGGUGAAACUCAAAGGAAUUGACGGGGGCCCGCACAAGCGGAGGAACAUGUGGUUUAAUUCGAUGAUACGCGAGGAACCUUACCCGGGCUUAAAUUGCAGAUGAAUUACGGUGAAAGCCGUAAGCCGCAAGGCAUCUGUGAAGGUGCUGCAUGGUUGUCGUCAGCUCGUGCCGUGAGGUGUCGGCUUAAGUGCCAUAACGAGCGCAACCCUUGUUGUCAGUUACUAACAGGUUCCGCUGAGGACUCUGACAAGACUGCCAUCGUAAGAUGUGAGGAAGGUGGGGAUGACGUCAAAUCAGCACGGCCCUUACGUCCGGGGCUACACACGUGUUACAAUGGGGGGUACAGAGGGCCGCUACCACGCGAGUGGAUGCCAAUCCCCAAAACCUCUCUCAGUUCGGACUGGAGUCUGCAACCCGACUCCACGAAGCUGGAUUCGCUAGUAAUCGCGCAUCAGCCACGGCGCGGUGAAUACGUUCCCGGGCCUUGUACACACCGCCCGUCAAGCCAUGGGAGCCGGGGGUACCUGAAGUGCGUAACCGCGAGGAGCGCCCUAGGGUAAAACUGGUGAAUGGGG